rnacentral:rRNA from 1 species
UACGGAGGAGGCAAGCGUUAUCCGGAAUUAUUGGGCGUAAAGCGUCCGCAGGUGGCGAUUCAAGUCUGCGGUUAAAGACUGGGGCUUAACCCUGGAAAGGCCGUGGAAACUGAAUAGCUAGAGUGCAGUAGGGGUAGAGGGAAUUCCCGGUGUAGCGGUGAAAUGCGUAGAGCUCGGGAAGAACAUCGGUGGCGAAAGCGCUCUGCUGGACUGCAACUGACACUCAGGGACGAAAGCUAGGGGAGCGAAUGGG